GUCGAGCGGUAGCACAGAGAGCUUGCUCUCGGGUGACGAGCGGCGGACGGGUGAGUAAUGUCUGGGAAACUGCCUGAUGGAGGGGGAUAACUACUGGAAACGGUAGCUAAUACCGCAUAACGUCGCAAGACCAAAGUGGGGGACCUUCGGGCCUCACGCCAUCAGAUGUGCCCAGAUGGGAUUAGCUAGUAGGUGGGGUAACGGCUCACCUAGGCGACGAUCCCUAGCUGGUCUGAGAGGAUGACCAGCCACACUGGAACUGAGACACGGUCCAGACUCCUACGGGAGGCAGCAGUGGGGAAUAUUGCACAAUGGGCGCAAGCCUGAUGCAGCCAUGCCGCGUGUAUGAAGAAGGCCUUCGGGUUGUAAAGUACUUUCAGCGAGGAGGAAGGCGUUGAGGUUAAUAACCUCAUCGAUUGACGUUACUCGCAGAAGAAGCACCGGCUAACUCCGUGCCAGCAGCCGCGGUAAUACGGAGGGUGCAAGCGUUAAUCGGAAUUACUGGGCGUAAAGCGCACGCAGGCGGUCUGUCAAGUCAGAUGUGAAAUCCCCGGGCUCAACCUGGGAACUGCAUUCGAAACUGGCAGGCUAGAGUCUUGUAGAGGGGGGUAGAAUUCCAGGUGUAGCGGUGAAAUGCGUAGAGAUCUGGAGGAAUACCGGUGGCGAAGGCGGCCCCCUGGACGAAGACUGACGCUCAGGUGCGAAAGCGUGGGGAGCAAACAGGAUUAGAUACCCUGGUAGUCCACGCCGUAAACGAUGUCUAUUUGGAGGUUGUGCCCUUGAGGCGUGGCUUCCGGAGCUAACGCGUUAAAUCGACCGCCUGGGGGAGUACGGCCGCAAGGUUAAAACUCAAAUGAAUUGACGGGGGCCCGCACAAGCGGUGGAGCCAGGUGGUUUAAUUCGAUGCAACGCGAAGAACCUUACCUAGUCUUGACAUCCACAGAACUUAGCAGAAAAUGCUUUGGUGCCUUCGGGAACUGUGAAAACAGGUGCUUGCAUGGCUUUCGUCAGCUCCGGGUUGUGAAAAUGUUGGGGUUAAAUUCCCCCACA
rnacentral:rRNA from 1 species